GGGCUUGUAGCUCAAUGGCAGAGCAUAUAGCUUUUAACUAUCUGGAUGAAGGUUCGAGUCCUUUCAAGCCCA
rnacentral:tRNA from 1 species